AUUGAACGCUGGCGGCAUGCUUUACACAUGCAAGUCGAACGGCAGCACGGGAGCUUGCUCCUGGUGGCGAGUGGCGAACGGGUGAGUAAUGCAUCGGAACGUACCCAGUAGUGGGGGAUAGCCCGGCGAAAGCCGGAUUAAUACCGCAUAUUUCCUGAGGGAGAAAGCGGGGGACCUUCGGGCCUCGCGCUACUGGAGCGGCUGAUGUCGGAUUAGCUAGUUGGUGAGGUAAAGGCUCACCAAGGCGACGAUCCGUAGCUGGUCUGAGAGGAUGAUCAGCCACACUGGGACUGAGACACGGCCCAGACUCCUACGGGAGGCAGCAGUGGGGAAUUUUGGACAAUGGGGGCAACCCUGAUCCAGCCAUGCCGCGUGAGUGAAGAAGGCCUCGGUUGG
rnacentral:rRNA from 1 species